rnacentral:rRNA from 1 species
CCCUUAGAUGUUCUGGGCCGCACGCGCGCUACACUGAUGCAUUCAACGAGUCUAAAACCUGCUCUGAUAGGGGUGGGUAAUCUUUUGAAUGUGCAUCGUGACUGGGAUAGAUGAUUGCAAUUUUUCAUCUUCAACGAGGAAUGCCUAGUAAACGCAAGUCAUCAGCUUGCAUUGAUUACGUCCCUGCCCUUUGUACACACCGCCCGUCGCUCCUACCGAUUGAAUGAUCCGAUGAAUAUCAUGGAUUGAGGAUUAUAGCAGGUUCGCCUGUCUUGAUCUUCGAGAAGUGAAGUAAAUCUUAUCAUUUAGAGGAAGGAGAAGUCGUAACA